GUGUGGAUUGUCGAUAGAAGCGAUAACUGGCAUUUCAUUGACGGGAGUGUUAUAUAAACGUGAUGAGACAGUGUAGCGUAAUAUUUCAUUGAUGGAUGAGUUGGACUGUUUGUAAACGUAAUAGAGUGGAACUUUUAACAAUGGCAAUUGGAUUAUUUCGUGCGCCAUAGCGAGAGGUUGCACUUUCGAUUCUCAUGGGGUAUGAAGUUUUGAGAAAAGCGGCCAGACUCAACUGGGAAUAGAUGGUUGCCGGUGCGGAAAUGCAGCAUACUUAAUCGUAGUGAUUGAGGUGAUAGGUGUAUUCAAGGCUUCGACAUUGUAUGUAUCAGGUGUACCAUGUUCAUCCGGGUCUGGUGGCAAUAUAUCUGGGUGUAUAGUUGCGUUAGUAUCUUUAAAGAAUUUAAAAAACUGUUCGAUAUUUGGGCUUUCACUUUCCUUUUUACUUUUAUUUAUAUUGUUUAAAAGUUUCCAAUAUUCUUUGGGGUUUGAGGCGUUCAUUGACCGUAACUUAUUUUCUACAGUAUAUUUAUGUUUGUUUAUAUACGUAUUGAGAACGUGUUUAUAGUGGCGGCUGGCCGAAUCUAGGUUACGUUUAUUUAGUGUGGAUUUGUGUAAUUGGUAAGCUUUACGAGCGUGAUUGUAUUUAUUUCGUGCCUUGUGACAUUGAGGCCCAAACCAUGGUUUUGGUGUAGCUUUUAAAUAAGAAGUUUUACUUCUUUGUUUAUUAAUUUGGUGAGGGAACGAUUUGCGC